UCAUUCAUAGAUUCUCCUUCCUUCAUGUGAAGAAUUUCAAACUCCUUUUGAAGAGCUUGCAAGUGCGCACGCUUUACUCAUGUUGUACCUUGAUAUUUUUGCUUCAAAGAAUCCCAUAUGUUCUUCGUUGUAUCCUUUUUAAGGAUUGUCUCCAAGAUUGAACGAUCUAAUGCUUGAAAUAGAUAGUUCUUUGCUUUCAAAUCUUUCAACUUCUG
rnacentral:lncRNA from 1 species